rnacentral:rRNA from 1 species
GAUGAACGCUGGCGGCGUGCCUAAUACAUGCAAGUCGAGCGAACAGACGAUGAGUUUGCUCCUCUGACGUUAGCCGCGGACGUGUGAGUCACACGUGCAUCACCUACCUAUAAGAGUGAUAUCACUUCGGGACACCGGCUCUUAUACCGUAUAAUCUAUUGCACCGCGUUGUUCAAUAGGUAAAUAUUUUUUUUCUUUCAUUUAUAGAUGGCUCCUCGCCGCAUUAGAUAGUUGGUAAGGUAACGGCUUACCAAGGCAACGAUGCGUAGCCGAACUGAGAGGGGGAUAGGCCACACGGGAACUGGGACACGGUCAAGAGGCCUGAGGGAGGCAGCAGUAGGGAAUCGUACGCAAUGGGCGAAAGCCUGACGGAGCAAGGCCGAGUGAGAGACAAAGGCGUUCGGAUCGGAAAAAUGUGUUAUGAGGGAAGAACAAAUGUGUAAGUAAAUAAGCAAGAAGUGACGGUACCUAAACAGAAAGCCACGGCUAACUACGUG